CUUGUUUUUCUACUUUUU
rnacentral:sRNA from 1 species